rnacentral:rRNA from 1 species
AUUGAACGCUGGCGGCAGGCCUAACACAUGCAAGUCGAACGCGUGGCGGACGGGUGUGUAAUGUGUGGGAAACUGUCUGAGGGAGGGGUAUAUAUACUGGAAACUGUAGCUAAUACCGUAUACCAUCAUAUGUGCCCAUAUGGGAUGAGCUUGUAGGUGGGGUAACGGCUCACCAAGGCGACGAUCCCUAGCUGGUCUGAGAGGAUGACCAGCCACACUGGAACUGAGACACGGUCCAGACUCCUACGGGAGGCAGCAGUGGGGAAUAUUGCACAAUGGGCGCAAGCCUGAUGCAGCCAUGCCGCGUGUGUGAAGAAGGCCUUCGGGUUGUAAAGUACUUUCAGCGGGGAGGCGUUACCCGCAGAAGAAGCACCGGCUAACUCCGUGCCAGCAGCCGCGGUAAUUC